AGGGCUUCAUGACCAUGUUUUAAUGGGUUUCACUUUAAUGGUUUUUGUUUAAAUGGUUUCAUUGUUCUUUUGCUGCUGAAUAUGACUUGUGGAACCCAUUUGUAGCAUUGAGAUUUUCUUAUUUGUUUGUUUCUUCACUUGGUUUGUUAGGAUUGCAAUGGUUGGGAAAAGGAUUGCAAUGUCUACGCUAAUGACAGUCUGCACAUUCAUAAAACAGAAGCAUGAUAGUAAGUAAAUAAACAUAGGAUUGCAAUUGUUACUGUGAUUGCUAUUUUAGAAACAUUAUCUUGACUUUUCUUUUGCUCUCUUAGGUGAUCAACUUGCUUUCUUUGGAAUUUUUUAUCGCAGGUGGUUGUGGUGCUUAUGUAGUUUUAAUAUCUAAAUAUGAUCCUUUACAUGAUAGAGUCGACGAUUUUACCACUAGCUCUUGUCUCACACUACUCUGUAGCAUACAUGGAUGUUCAAUAACAACAGGUGAAAGCAUUGGAAAUAACAAACGCAAAUUUAUUGUUUGAGAUUUAUUUUUUGAGAACCUGAUUGCUAUAGUGCUUCUAAAAAAUAUAAUGAAUCUGAUUGCUAUAGUGUUUCUACAAAUGUGAAUCUGAUUUGCAUGGCCAGUGGUCUUUGAGUUUCAAAUGAUGUUGGCUCCACUACUUUGCCCAACUAUGAGAUCUUUAGUUGUCGAUCUUGUGGAAAAUCAUGAGGCUGGUAAUUAGUCCAACAAAAAGCCAUCCAAAAUAUUAAUGUUCUAUGAAGGUUCUCUGCGGCGUUUCAGAUGCACGGUAGUUUACUCGGGAAGAUCAUGCGGAUUAUAUCAAACUCCUUUCAUUCCUUAAGCCAGGACAUGAUGAGUUACAUUUCUCAUCUACAAGCAUCUCCAAUUUGAAGAGUCAAUUGGAACAACAUACUGCACUUAAGUGCAGUUCUGACUCCAGCAGGUUAAUAGAGUAUUGGGUUCCUAUGCAGCUUUCUAGUUUGCAGCUUGAGCAGUAUUCCUCAAUGUUGCUUUCAAACUCAUUGCCAUUAUACUCAGGCCAAAAGUCUAAUUCUGUUGAUGCCCUCUGUGACCUUAUCAUCUCAACAAGGAAGGUAGACAUGAUAAGAAACAUAGAAGCUGGAACUUCGAAUUUCACACAAUGACUAUCCACUUUUAGUUGAAGUGUAUUUUAGUCAUAGCUUAUUUACUAUACUUUUUUAUGAGCAUGAUAUAUAUUUUGCCAAAUUAGUUGUAGAUGUUGUAAUAAGACUAAAAGAAAACAAUGACAUCCUUACUUA